CACGGCCAGGUUGGUCAUGGACCUCUGCUUGCGGAGGUUGGAGGACACUGGAAGCCGCCCCUCAGAGCUACCUGCACGGCACAUUCUUUGCACACACAAUUGUGCAUGAUUUACUGGUGUGGAAAUGUGGAAAUGGUGAGGAAAUCUGUGUCCAAAAGCUCUCAACAACUGGAACAUCCAGCUUAUCUGUUUAUCCUGUCUGAGCUGCCUUAUUGCCUAACCCUUGUUUUAAUCAACAUAAAUCAUAUAUUUAAAUCUA